rnacentral:lncRNA from 1 species
UAAACUGUGACAGGUCUUGUAACUCAGGCAUGUCUUGUGACCUUUGCCAUCCUGCACAGAUGGGAAAAACAGGACCUUACAAAAUCCUUGCAAACUUGCAGAAAUAGUUACAAAAAUAGUUAUACAAGCAGAACAAAGAAUGAUGGCAUGGGUAGAGAAUUUCAGGAAGACACUGAUAAGAACUUGUUUCUCUUGUCCCUGUUUUUGGAACCCAUUUCUUCAGGGCCCCUACCUGGCCUUGCAGGUAAUGUUAUCACAGCUGUAGCUGGACUUUGGAGUGAGUCAGCCUGGUCAGGGAAGGACUUGUUUUUCUUUUUACUUGUUUUUCUUAUAUUUCCUGCUUCAUGAGCAAGAAACAACAAGCUUUACCUUCACAGUAGAAGAGUCCAGCAGAACAAAGUUGGAAGCAGAGGGAGUGAAUCUAAACCUAUGGACAGAUUCAUCUUGGAAACCCUAAGUGAGGCUAAAGGGAGAAAACAAAUUGGAAGGAGAUUUAAAGGAUUCUCAAAUACAAACUGAAGUUUUCAAGAACAGGAUCAUGAAGGACAGUAAAAAUCAGGAAUUGCCAAACUUUGUCACAAUGGCUGUACAACAUCAGUGAGCCGAAGUCAUACCACUGCAUUACAGCCCGGGCGACAGAGAAAGACUCCAUCUCAAAAAAAAAAAAAAAGGAUGGAUGGAAGAGAAGGAAAGGAAGAAAGGAGAAAAGGGAGGGAGGGAGGGAAGGAGGGAGGACUUGUAUGUGAGAAGUGACUUCUACCUUACUGCUUUAAAAAAUGUAUCUGUCUUUUGACAACAUAAAAUGUCUUGUGUCUAAA